UAGAGGACCAACAAUGCUAGCUGUGGCUGGGAAAUCUUAAAAUGUUAAUCAUCUGUCACUCACACUCCCUGCCGAGUCUGCAGCAUGUACCUGGCUGUUUGCUAUGAGAUGAAAAUAGGGUUCUGUCUGCUUUCAGUAGGUCACUCUGUUUUCUGCUCGUAAAGUAAGUUAGUGAAUUAAAAAGUGGGAGUGGCAAUGGGAACGCACUCCCAAUGGGCCGCAUGCUCGCCCUCUUUCCAUUAACCAAGUUCCCGGCUGAUGGAAGGAAGAUGGGUGGAGCUGGGCAUCAACUUUUGGCAUGUCAAGGUUAAGGAACUGACACCCAGACUUAAGAAAGUCCUACCACUGCACCUUCAGACCAGAAGAUAAUUUUCUUAAAGAAUAAAUGGUUGCUUUAGUGUA